GACCUGACUCCUGGCCACAGAAGGACAGAGCCCUUGAGCAGUGCUGCAGCAGCACCCAACCCUUGCAGGGAAGUGCCGGCACUGCCACUGCCCCAGGGAAGCUACCCUUGUGAUGCAGCUCGUCGCAUUGUGACAUCAGCCCGUGUCACCUGGAGCUCUGUGAGGUCACCAGCACAGAGAGGGCCCCUCACAGCCAGAAAGACAUGGAGGCCCUGGAAUGUGAUCAGAGCUGGGCAACCAAGCUGCAUCAGAUGCCAUCCCAGUGUUACUGCUGUUGAAAUAUGUUAUUUGUUGCUCAACACAUCUGGCUAUCAAACAACAACUUUGAUCCUGCCCAGGCUGCUAACAGUCCUUGGAGCUUGGUGCGGAAUAACACCCAAGGUCCCUUGGGAAAGGUUACACCCAUGUGGUUUUUCUGCAGGGAGCUGCUGUGCAGAAGGAUGCUUUCUCCCCUUGCUGAUCUCUAGAUCAAGAGGAUGUAGAAUUGUCCAUGCAGCAAAAGGACUACAGGGAGUGAGCACAGACUUUCAUGGCAGGCUACUUUUUAGCCAACUCUGUCUUUAUUCUGUUUUCAGUCAACUGAUGGGAAUUACUCUUAUUUUAAAUGCCUGAGAAACAGCUGUUGGUCCAGAAGGCAAUGUUGAUUUACAAGUGCCAACUUUGUCAGACCGCAAUUAAAGGAAGGCUAGAA